AUUUUUUCUUUCCUGGUUACAAACUUUACCUCCUGUUUGGAUGCAGAGAAAAUUGUGGUAAUGUGAAGGAAUCAUGUGGCUAUGUUUUUAGUCCAAGAUUAGUAUUCCUUGUCUUCUUUUCUUGGAUCAUAUAAGUUUAGGAUUCACACAAUUCUGUAAUUUAUUUUCUUGUGUUGUAUAUCUUGUAAUGAUCAAUAAUAGAACCUUGAAAAAUAAAUAAUAAAACCGCUACUUAAU
rnacentral:misc_RNA from 1 species